GGGUUGUGAGGUUAAGCGACUAAGCGUACACGGUGGAUGCCCUGGCAGUCAGAGGCGAUGAAGGACGUGCUAAUCUGCGAUAAGCGUCGGUGAGGUGAUAUGAACCGUUAUAACCGGCGAUUUCCGAAUGGGGAAACCCAGUGUGUUUCGACACACUAUCAUUAACUGAAUCCAUAGGUUAAUGAGGCGAACCGGGGGAACUGAAACAUCUAAGUACCCCGAGGAAAAGAAAUCAACCGAGAUUCCCCCAGUAGCGGCGAGCGAACGGGGAGGAGCCCAGAGCCUGAAUCAGUGUGUGUGUUAGUGGAAGCGUCUGGAAAGGCGCGCGAUACAGGGUGACAGCCCCGUACACAAAAAUGCACAUGCUGUGAGCUCGAUGAGUAGGGCGGGACACGUGGUAUCCUGUCUGAAUAUGGGGGGACCAUCCUCCAAGGCUAAAUACUCCUGACUGACCGAUAGUGAACCAGUACCGUGAGGGAAAGGCGAAAAGAACCCCGGCGAGGGGAGUGAAAAAGAACCUGAAACCGUGUACGUACAAGCAGUGGGAGCCUCUUAAUGGGGUGACUGCGUACCUUUUGUAUAAUGGGUCAGCGACUUAUAUUCUGUAGCAAGGUUAACCGAAUAGGGGAGCCGAAGGGAAACCGAGUCUUAACUGGGCGUUAAGUUGCAGGGUAUAGACCCGAAACCCGGUGAUCUAGCCAUGGGCAGGUUGAAGGUUGGGUAACACUAACUGGAGGACCGAACCGACUAAUGUUGAAAAAUUAGCGGAUGACUUGUGGCUGGGGGUGAAAGGCCAAUCAAACCGGGAGAUAGCUGGUUCUCCCCGAAAGCUAUUUAGGUAGCGCCUCGUGAAUUCAUCUCCGGGGGUAGAGCACUGUUUCGGCAAGGGGGUCAUCCCGACUUACCAACCCGAUGCAAACUGCGAAUACCGGAGAAUGUUAUCACGGGAGACACACGGCGGGUGCUAACGUCCGUCGUGAAGAGGGAAACAACCCAGACCGCCAGCUAAGGUCCCAAAGUCAUGGUUAAGUGGGAAACGAUGUGGGAAGGCCCAGACAGCCAGGAUGUUGGCUUAGAAGCAGCCAUCAUUUAAAGAAAGCGUAAUAGCUCACUGGUCGAGUCGGCCUGCGCGGAAGAUGUAACGGGGCUAAACCAUGCACCGAAGCUGCGGCAGCGACGCUUAUGCGUUGUU
rnacentral:rRNA from 1 species